rnacentral:lncRNA from 1 species
CCACAUAGUAGUGAGGGGAUUCAACUGAACCCCCUGAACUUGAAAAAAUUGCAUAUAUAUUUCUAUAAAUUUUGCACUUUGAAUCCCCUAGAAUUUUACCUUUGCACCCACGAAAGAGAAGGAGAAAACACAUAAGAAAGAACAUACAUAGAGAAAGCAUAGUUGUUGAGAAGUUGCAGGAAGAAAAAAAAAAGAAAGAAGGAAGAACUACGUUCAAGAAGAAACAGAGCGGCGGCAACAAGAUGAAGACACUAGUGUUUAGGUUUAAGUUUAAGUUUGGGCU